UAAUGUUUGAUGUUCUAACGUGGACCCGUAAUCCGGGUUGCGGACAGUGUCUGGUGGGUAGUUUGACUGGGGCGGUCUCCUCCUAAAGAGUAACGGAGGAGCACGAAGGUUGGCUAAUCCUGGUCGGACAUCAGGAGGUUAGUGCAAUGGCAUAAGCCAGCUUGACUGCGAGCGUGACGGCGCGAGCAGGUGCGAAAGCAGGUCAUAGUGAUCCGGUGGUUCUGAAUGGAAGGGCCAUCGCUCAACGGAUAAAAGGUACUCCGGGGAUAACAGGCUGAUACCGCCCAAGAGUUCAUAUCGACGGCGGUGUUUGGCACCUCGAUGUCGGCUCAUCACAUCCUGGGGCUGAAGUAGGUCCCAAGGGUAUGGCUGUUCGCCAUUUAAAGUGGUACGCGAGCUGGGUUUAGAACGUCGUGAGACAGUUCGGUCCCUAUCUGCCGUGGGCGCUGGAGAACUGAGGGGGGCUGCUCCUAGUACGAGAGGACCGGAGUGGACGCAUCACUGGUGUUCGGGUUGUCAUGCCAAUGGCACUGCCCGGUAGCUAAAUGCGGAAGAGAUAAGUGCUGAAAGCAUCUAAGCACGAAACUUGCCCCGAGAUGAGUUCUCCCUGAGACUUAGAGUCUCCUGAAGGAACGUUGAAGACGACGACGUUGAUAGGCCGGGUGUGUAAGCGCAGCGAUGCGUUGAGCUAACCGGUACUAAUGAACCGUGAGGCUUAACCUUAC
rnacentral:rRNA from 2 species